AGCGAACGCUGGCGGCAGGCCUAACACAUGCAAGUCGAACGAACUCUUCGGAGUUAGUGGCGGACGGGUGAGUAACACGUGGGAACGUGCCUUUAGGUUCGGAAUAACUCAGGGAAACUUGUGCUAAUACCGAAUGUGCCCUUCGGGGGAAAGAUUUAUCGCCUUUAGAGCGGCCCGCGUCUGAUUAGCUAGUUGGUGGUGUAAUGGACCACCAAGGCGACGAUCAGUAGCUGGUCUGAGAGGAUGAUCAGCCACAUUGGGACUGAGACACGGCCCAAACUCCUACGGGAGGCAGCAGUGGGGAAUCUUGCGCAAUGGGCGAAAGCCUGACGCAGCCAUGCCGCGUGAAUGAUGAAGGUCUUAGGAUUGUAAAAUUCUUUCACCGGGGACGAUAAUGACGGUACCCGGAGAAGAAGCCCCGGCUAACUUCGUGCCAGCAG
rnacentral:rRNA from 1 species